rnacentral:rRNA from 1 species
GAACGAACGCUGGCGGCGCGUCUUAAGCAUGCAAGUCGAACGGCAAGAGGUAGCAAUACCUCCUAGAGUGGCGGACUGGUGAGUAACACGUGGGUGACAUACCCUUCAGAUGGGGAUAGCUAUUAGAAAUAGUAGAUAAUACCGAAUACGAGCACAGGGGUUAGAGAUCUGUGAGGAAAGGAGCUAAGGCUCCGCUGAAGGAAUGGCCUGCGGCCCAUUAGCUAGUUGGUGAGGUAAGAGCCCACCAAGGCGAUGAUGGGUAUCCGGCCUUAGAGGGUGAACGGACACAUUGGGACUGAGAUACGGCCCAGACUCCUACGGGAGGCAGCAGCUAAGAAUAUUCCGCAAUGGACGAAAGUCUGACGGAGCGACGCCGCGUGGAUGAAAGAAGGCCGGAAGGUUGUAAAAUCCUUUUGAAACUGAAGAAUAAGCGUUGUAGGGAAUGACAGCGUGGUGACAGUAGGUUUUGAAUAAGCAACGGCUAAUUACGUGCCAGCAGCAGC